CCUACGGGAGGCUGCAGUGAGGAAUAUUGGUCAAUGGCCGGAAGCCUGAACCAGCCAAGUAGCGUGCGGGAUGAAGGCCCUACGGGUCGUAAACUGCUUUUGCACGGGGAUAACACCCUCCACUUGUGGCGGUCUGCAGGUACCGUACGAAUAAGGGCCGGCUAAUUCCGUGCCAGCAGCCGCGGUAAUACGGAAGGGCCGAGUGUUAUCCGGAUUCAUUGGGCUUAAAGGGAGCGUAGGCGGGCGUUCAAGUCAGCUGUAAAAUCGCGCGGCUCAACCGCGCCCCGCAGUUGAAACUGGACGCCUUGAGUGCACAACAGGCAGGCGGAAUGCGUGGUGUAGCGGUGAAAUGCAUAGAUAUCACGAGGAACCCCGAUUGCGAAGGCAGCCUGCCGGGGUGCGACUGACGCUGAGGCUCGAAGGUGUGGGUAUCAAACAGGAUUAGAUACCCUUGUAGUC
rnacentral:rRNA from 1 species